rnacentral:antisense_RNA from 1 species
UGGGAAGAUGCUGUGCCUCGAGGAUUAGUUUAAACAGGGGGCUAUAAAAGAUGUAACAGAUGCAAACUGUAACACAAGGGCCAUUAACCCUUUCUCUGCCGGGCACACUCAGUCCCCACGCCCCGCACCUAUUGUCUCCUGUGCUAGAAGCUUUGCAGAAAACCUGGAAAGGGAAAUCCUGAAAUAAAGAAAUGGUCACACAAGUGUCUGGGAUGAAACAGCUGGCCUGUCUAUAUUCAUCCUGAGACACACGACUGCAUAUAAAUACAUGUUUAAUAAAGUAUUUGCCAAGUCCUAAUUGCUGAAUAUAAUGAAUUGGAACUAGAUGCGAAAAUAGAGCAGGACCUCUCCCCUUGAUGAGUUUUUAUUCCAGCCAUAUAAUUCUCAAUAAAACUUUUCCUGGGCUGGAUAGCAAAGGGCACCUUUGGUUACCUGAAUGGACAGGUACAGGGGAAAUUAUUUGGGGGAGGGAAAAAGGAGAGAAAAGCAAGGAGAGAGAGUGUGAGUGUAAGAGAAGGCGAAGAAGCCACUCUUGAGAAAAGCUUGCCAUAAAGGAGCUAAACCCACCUGAAAUUCCUACCCACGGACACCCCUUCUCACUUCAGACUCACAUCCCCACUCAAAAUGAGAAAAUUAGAAAAGGAGGAUGGAGGACGAGCACACCAAAAAGGGAUAAAAAGAGAGAAAAGGGGAGGAAAAAAAACCUACCUGCGAAGUCUUGUUUGUAGUUUUGGCCAGAAAUGGUGAGAAGAAAAAGCAUGAAGAAGCCGCGAAGUGUGGGGGAGAAAAAGGUGGAAGCGAAGAAACAGCUCCCGGAGCAAACUGUACAAAAACCUCGCCAAGAGUGUCGGGAGG